rnacentral:rRNA from 1 species
UGGAUCCAGACUUUGAUUAUGGCUCAGGAUGAACGCUAGCUACAGGCUUAACACAUGCAAGUCGAGGGGAAACGAUAUUGGAAGCUUGCUUCCGAUAGGCGUCGACCGGCGCACGGGUGAGUAACGCGUAUCCAACCUGCCCACCACUUGGGGAUAACCUUGCGAAAGUAAGACUAAUACCCAAUGAUAUCUCUAGAAGACAUCUGAAAGGGAUUAAAGAUUUAUCGGUGAUGGAUGGGGAUGCGUCUGAUUAGCUUGUUGGCGGGGUAACGGCCCACCAAGGCGACGAUCAGUAGGGGUUCUGAGAGGAAGGUCCCCCACAUUGGAACUGAGACACGGUCCAAACUCCUACGGGAGGCAGCAGUGAGGAAUAUUGGUCAAUGGGCGAGAGCCUGAACCAGCCAAGUAGCGUGCAGGAUGACGGCCCUAUGGGUUGUAAACUGCUUUUAUAAGGGAAUAAAGUGAGCCUCGUGAGGCUUUUUGCAUGUACCUUAUGAAUAA